AUCUAUGGCCAUGCCAUCCUGAACAUGCCUGAUCUCAUCUGAUCUCGGAAGCUAAGCAGGGUCGGGCCUGGUUAGUACUUGGAUGGGAGACCAUCUAGGAAUACCAGGUACUGCAGGCA
rnacentral:rRNA from 1 species